UACGGGGGGAGCAAGCGUUGUUCGGAUUUACUGGGCGUAAAGGGCGCGUAGGCGGCCACCGCAAGUCGACUGUGAAAUCUCCGGGCUUAACCCGGAAAGGUCAGCCGAUACUGCGGGGCUAGAGUGCAGAAGGGGCAACUGGAAUUCUCGGUGUAGCGGUGAAAUGCGUAGAUAUCGAGAGGAACACCUGCGGCGAAAGCGGCGCACUGGACCACAACUGACGCUGAGGCGCGAAAGCUAGGGGAGCAAACAGG
rnacentral:rRNA from 1 species